UUCAAGACAACUAUCAUCGUUUCACUCUCACUUCUCUCUUCACUCUACCAACCAAACUCCUAUCUCUCCCUCUCUCUCUCUCUUGACUCUCAUUUUCAUUUUCUCAUUCAGUUUCUAUCCCUACUCUCUCUCUAAACUCAGCAGCUCCCUCUUUCUCUCUUAUCUCUAAGCAAAACUUCAUUGAACCUGCAAAGAACAAGGGGUUCUACAAGUUUCUAAGGCGAGUGUGGUUAUCUUUACCUUUCUCUUUUCUCUUUCUCUACGCCGAAACCUACGACCUCUCUUCGUCUCACUUUUUUGAGUUUUCUACUCUCCUUACUGAACAUGCAUGCAAUGUUUAAGAUUUGAGAAGCUCUUACAAGCUUAGAGGAAAGGAAGCUUGUGCAUGCAAGGGUUUUGAAGAACGGGAUCUAGAGAUAAAAAGGUGCGAGGGAGUCCAAAAUUAGAAAAACAUACCAUCUCCGAAGAUUGAGCAUCAAAAGGUAAGGGCAAGGGGAAGGUCGACAAACCAUGAGUACAGAGAGCGGGGAGCGACGUGGACAUGUUUGGCCUGCCUGGUUGCCACGACCAUGGGAAUUUUUGGAGAUGAUGUGUCUCAAUCUGGAUUUUGUCUUUUAGUCGACUUUAAUCAUAUUUUUGAGCUGUAAAUAUUUCUAAACAGUAAUUU